ACCGCUCUUCCUUCACGCGACACCCUCGUCACUCAUCUCCCAGCUGCCGGCCCGCGGACCGUCGACGUCACGCGACUCCCCUAACAGAACCGCCCCUUUGGCCCGCUAACUGGACAGUUGGGCGUGGUGAUUGACAGAUUGUGAAAGAGAGGGAACAUCACUGUGUGGUGGCAUUUCGCACGCCCCCUGCUGGGGACCUGGCCUGCAACCCUACACUAGGGAAUCGAACGGGCGACCCUCGCGACCCUCUGGUUUCCAGGCCGACGCUCAAUCCACUGAACCACUCAAUCCACUGAACCACGCUAGCUAGGGUCGGUGGUUACUUGUUGAGAGGACUUCCAGCCUGGUGACUACAUAGAGCUCCAAGCAACAAAAGGGAAACUUCCGAAGUGACUGAUGAUGUGUUUAUAUGUUAUCUUCUUGCAGCAUUCUCUGUGUAGAGGAAAGGGAAAAGUAUGCUAAUUUAUCCACGACUUAAAAGUGUUGACUAUAAAGCAAUUGAGUAAUUAUGGGAUUUCUAAUACUUUAAUGUCCUAUGUCCUCCUUGAGAACCAGAAUUUUCUGUGUGGUGGACAGGAGGUACAGAUGUGAUGUAGAAGAAGUUAAAAACCCUUGAGCCCUAAGUUUAAAUAGGAACUAUCAGUAUGAACUCAUUAGGUGUGUUAUCUUUUGAUCUCUAUCCACUGAAAAGGUCUAGAAAUAAUGACCAAUCCAGAAUCAAUGAAUACUCCUGCCACCCAUAUCUUCAGUAUGAUUUAUCUACAAUUUAGUUGUAAUUUCAGAUCGGUCCUGGAGGAGGUUAGUGUAGCUUCCACUUAACUCCUCCCCCAUCUUGGAUCUCUCUCCUGCUACCCAUAUGUUAAAAUACCAUCUCCCAUAGAAACAAACCAGAGCUUGGAGAAAUAGCUGAUUCCAGGCCCAGGACAGGAAAUGUGCAAGAUGAGUGUGGAACAAUUUAUCAUACCAGAGAGCAAAGAAGACAGCGAACACUAUCAGGGUAAUGUCAAAAGGACUAAGGAGCCAAGUUCUGAGGGCCAAGGAUGGGAUAAUUUGAGCAUUAACAAGGAUAAUUUAAUAAACAUGUUGAGGAGCCCUGGGUGGGUAGCUCAGUUUGUUAGAGCAUUGUCCUGAUACACCAAGGUUGUAGGUUUUGUCCCCACCAGGGCACAUACAGGAAUCAACCAGUGAAUGCAUAAAUAAGUGGAUCAGCAAAUCAAUGUCUCUCUCUCUCUCUCUCCCCCCCAUCCCCCUCCCUCCUCCUUCCCUUUUUCUCUCUCAAAUCAACAAAUUAAAAAAAUAAAAAUAAAUUAUGUUUAAAUCUAUGAGUUUAUAAUGGGGUUUGUGUGUGUGUGUAUGUGUGUUAACUAAUUGAUCACCUUUGGAAGAUAAGAAAACAUUAUUUUGAAGAUGGUAAAUAAAGAAAAAGAAGCAGUUAUCUUGCUAUUCCUAUAUAAACUGUACCCAAGGGUAAUGAAUAGCAGAUAAAGGGUGUGUCCCUUUAUAAAAGUAUUCCAAUUAUUAUGAUAGAGCUUAGAUAUGGCUGCUUCGAAAUCCCCAAUAAAUGAGUAUAAGCAUUGAACAUCUAAACCUGGAUUCUUCAAUGGUUAAAUUGAGGUAAAAGAAAGAAAUGGAAGGGGAACCUGUAGGUUGAAAGACUUAAAAAGCAUGUGAAAUUUUUGAAAACUGGACAAGGCUAAACUAUUAUGUCUAGGGGUCCACAUUUUGGUGAUAAAACUACAAAAAAAAAAAAAGCAAGUAAUUAUGGUGCACCAUAGUAUUCAUUUAUGCCAGGAAGAAGGCACUGAGAUGGAGACGCACAGAGGAAGAUGGAGGGGAGGUGUGUGUCGGGGGACUACUUUUGGGAUCUGGCAAAGUUCUGUUUCUCUAGGUGAUGGUUUCAAGGCUAUUCACUUUAUUAAGCUAUACCUUUGUUUUGUAUGGUUUUUUGUACCUGUUUUAUUUAAAAAUAAAUGUUAAUUAAAAUGUGUUAUCAAUUUUUCUUAUUUAUCUGGAGCUCUAGGCAUGCAGCCCAGUUUUAUUGUCAUAGACAAAAUUAUUUUUGAAGGCUAACAUCUUCACAUCACUGUGCAUUUAGAUACCAGAAAGAUGCC